rnacentral:rRNA from 1 species
UACGUAGGGUGCGAGCGUUAAUCGGAAUUACUGGGCGUAAAGCGUGCGCAGGCGGUUAUUUAAGUCAGGUGUGAAAGCCCUGGGCUUAACCUAGGAAUUGCGCUUUGAGACUGGAUAGCUUGGAGUGCGGCAGAGGGAGGUGGAAUUCCACGUGUAGCAGUGAAAUGCGUAGAGAUGUGGAGGAACACCGAUGGCGAAGGCAGCCUCCUGGGCCAGCACUGACGCUCAUGCACGAAAGCGUGGGGAGCAAACAGG